rnacentral:lncRNA from 1 species
UGCCCUCGGAUCCUCCGGCGAAGACUUCCACCGGAUGCCCCGGGUGGGCCGGUUGGGAUGAGACUGGACCACCCCGGACCGUGCUGUUCUUGGGGGUGGGCUGACGUACGGGGUGGACUGGCGGCCCCAGCAUUGUAAAGGGUGCGUGGGUAUGGAAAUGUCACGUAGGAUGCCCUCCUUCCCUUCGGUCUGCCUUCAGCUGCCUCAGGCGUGAAGACAACUUCCCAUCGGAACCUCUUCUCUUCCCUUUCUCCAGCACACAGAUGAGACGCGUGAGAGGGAGAAACAGCUCAAUAGAUACUGCUGACCUUCAUUUGUGGAAUCCUCAGUCGUCUACACACAAGACAGUACGCAGGCUGAGUAAAACCCACCCCACCCUCCACCCGUUGGCUGACGAAACCCCUUCUCUACAAUGGAUGAAAAAGAUGAUCUGGGCCGGGCACGCUAGCUCACGCCUGUCAUUCCGGCACUUUGGGAGGCCGAGGCCGGUGGAUCGCUUGGGGCCGGGAGUUGGAGACCAGGCUGGCCGACGUGGCGAAACCCCGUCUCUACUGAAAAAUAGAACGAUUAGCCGGGCCUGGUGGCGUGGGCUUGGAAUCACGACCGCUCGGGAGACUGGGGCGGGCGAGUUGUUCCAACCGGGGAGGCCGAGGUUGCGAUGGGCUGAGAUCGUGCCGUGGCGAUCCAGCCUGGAUGACGGAGCGAGACCCCGUCUCGAUACAAUCAUGAUGUUAUUAUAAGAUGAGUUGUGCGCGGUGAUGGCCGCCUGUAGUCGCAGCUACUCGGGAGGCUGAGAUGAGGAGAGGAUCACUUGAGGCCCCACAGGUCGAGGCUUCGGUCGGCCGUGACCCACUGUAUCCUGGGCGGUCACCGGUCAAGGAGAUAUGCCCCCUCCCCGUUUGCUUUUCUUUUCUUCCCUUCUCUUUUCUUCUUUUUUCUUCUCUUUU